UACGUAGGAUGCAAGCGUUGUCCGGAUUUACUGGGCGUAAAGAGCGUGUAGGCGGCCAGGUAGGUCAGCUGUGAAAACUCGAGGCUCAACCUCGAGACGUCGGUUGAAACCACCUGGCUAGAGUCCGGAAGAGGAGAGUGGAAUUCCUGGUGUAGCGGUGAAAUGCGCAGAUAUCAGGAAGAACACCCGUGGCGAAGGCGGCUCUCUGGGACGGUACUGACGCUGAGACGCGAAAGCGUGGGGAGCGAACAGG
rnacentral:rRNA from 1 species